CAUCCAUUAGUUGCUUUUAAAAUCGAUAUUGGUUUUGACCACAUCAUUUUCAGUAAUCUUUUUUUGUCAGUUUUUUGGAAGCUGCAGUUAGUGGUUAUUUCUGAGUUUGAGGUUGUGGUAUUUUACCAACAAGUAAAGGUUUGACUAAUAAAGUUGAGUCUUUAAAAUAUCUAGUGUUUGUGUGUGUGUGUUAAUUUUACUUUAACUGAGGGCUAUUAAUGAAAAUUAUGAUGCUAACAAUAGUUACCAUUUGAGCCUCUGCCAUUUAUCAUGCACUGAGAAGUAGGAAUGAGCAUCAUUUUACAGGUAAGACAUUAAAGCCAAGAGAGGAUACAACUGUUUAAGUGUUACAGCUGUCUUGCACAAGGUACCGAUGAUCUUUGAAUCUAAAUGGGCUUUUGUAACAGUGGAAAAGAAAUUCCUAGCCAUCCUACAGGGACGUGAUGAUUAAAUGAAAUAAUAUAUGAGAAAAGCAACACGUAAAUUGCAAAGUGCUCUCCAACCAGGAUACUUUAAUGUAAGCACUUACAGAUACUGGAAGCAGCGUGGUGAAGUGCUAAGUUCAAGAAUCCUGGGAGUCUGGUGGGCCUGGGUGUAAAAACAGUCCAUCACCUAACCAGCCUGAGCCUGAUUCCCACAUAUGUAAAAAUCAGUAAUAUUAUCUGCCUUAUAAUAAAUGAGAUACACCCAUUAAUUGCAGUGGGUGCUCAUUAAAGAUUGGCAUCCACACCCUGCUCUCUGUUGUCCACAGGUGAUUGGGAUAAUGGGAUUAAGUCUUUCAGUAGGAAUUGUUGUGGGGGAGCUUUUGAAGGACCGUUUUGUAUUUAUAAACCUUCCAGCUUUUGCUUUCCCACCUCAACCCCCAACACACAGUGAAUAUUCCAAGGCCUGUGAUUGUCUUAUCUAAGAGGAGAGAAUUGAAAAAACCAGAAGCCAGAAAAGGUCUUUGACAGAAGGUUGAAAAUGGAUGUAACUAGUUUUCCUUUUGCCCAUUUUGUGGCCUUCUCACCUUUUUUAUUUGUUUUGUUGGGCAAGGAAAAGUUAGUGAAUUUGGGGGGUUGUGUCUGUAGGGAGGCCCUGGAAGAGCCGUAGUGUAAGGUGGGGGAGGAGUGGGAGGAGCUGAGUCUGGCUGAGGGUCAAGGUUGUAAAGUGUGGCAUGGAGGACAUUUCUGUUAGAUGUUGGAUUUGUCUAAAUAUGGGGCCAAUUUCCAUCUGGUCCUGUCUGGCUCUCUUUUGGAACUUUGAAGUUUUUGUGCUCCAGGCAGAUUUUGACUGGUAGUGGUGGCAUCAUAAGUGAGUUUCCAUAGUAAGCUGUAUGCUGAAAGGAAAUUAAAUUCCGAGAGGGUGUUUGUUGUGACUGAUGCCAGAAUUUCUCUGAGAAUUUUAUUAAGAUUCAUUCAGUCUAUAAAAGGACUUCUUAGUUCUCCAAAGACAUUAAUUAAGAAAUAGUCUUAAGAAAAUAGAAGUGUCAUCUUUGUCAGCUUUUGAAAUGUCAUUAUCCUAAAUCUUUGGAACAAAUGAGGUCCAAAACAUCAUAUGUGAAAAACAUUUCCUUCCCAAAAUAAUAUUUUCCUUUUCUUUCCAUUCCUUCUCUCCACUUACAUUAUUUUGAUAAUGAGCUAAUUUUGGUAUCUUUCAUAUUUUGGCAGCCUAAUUUUUAUAUUUAUGACCAUCAGCUUUUAGCUCUUGCUUGUGCUUUCUCUUCUUGGGAGUUAAUUCUCGUUCAUUCAUUAUGAAGAAUGAAUGAAUGAGACAUAGCCAGGUGGGGAAGGGAGUGGACCCUGGACCCAGGUUGGGGGUGGUAGAGUUGUGAACACUCAUGGAGAGCUAGGCUCUUUACAACUUGGAUUUAAUCCUCACAGCAGCUCUGGGAGGUUGAUCAUGCUAUUUCCAACGCACAGAUGUGGAAUAGGUACAGAAACAACACGUGCGUUCACAUGGCCAGCGAACCAUUCAUCUGAGAGUCAGCAGCUGUGGUCUGUGGGACUCCAGAGCCUGUGCUUCCAGCUGAAAAGGUAGGUGGGGGCCUUGUACACUCUUCCCAGGGCCGGGACUCAGUCCUGUAGGCCGGGGAUCCGUUAAGGGAGAGGGUCAGGUCUGUAUUCUAGAAAGGUAGCUUGGUGGGCUGUGUGGAGUUGUGAAGUUGAGCAAGUAGAAAUUAGUAGAAACGAAUCCAUUAAAGUAAUUGGUAGGAGAGAUGAUGAGGGCCUGGACUUAAGACAUUAAGACUGUGGCAGUAGCGGUGGAGAAAAAGGGGACUUGUGAGAAUCCGCAGAGCUCAGUUCCUUUGGAUGUUGGAGUUGAGAGAAAGAAAUCAAAUCUGAGGGUUCCCUUCCCUCUCCUCGUUUCUUCCCAUCCCUGCAGUCAGUUCUGGCCCCCAGGGCUGGUGGUUGGGGAUGGUAACUGUGUAGACUAAAAACUAGCUCUGCAGAAACCAGCAGUGCCUCCAUUGGUCUCUUAGCUGAGCUGGGGAAAGGUGUCUGUGUACGUACUACCUGAAAGAGCCUUCGCCUCUCUGUGCCCACCCCGGCCUCAUCGUUCCUACCUUUCUAGGAGUGUCUCAGAGGAUGGAAGUCAGAUGUCUCUGACCCCAUUUUGGGAAAUGCUGGUUUGAGCAUUCACUGAAACCUCAAGCGAAAAGUGCCCAAGGGAAGAAGCCUCUCCGGGGUGCAGUCCUUACUUCACUCUUCCCUGCUGGCACAGGAGACCCACCCGGGUUGGUCCUCAGUUCCAGCUGAUCCCCAAGAGUCGAUCUGUCCCAGGCGCGGUUGACCUGUGGUCACCAAAUGUGCAGGGCAGGGGCUGACCGGGAACCACGAGUGGCAAGGAACAUAAUGGCCAGCCCCAGGGGGAGUCACGGCCACCCCCCCCCCCGAAGGUCACCGAGUCUGUGGGGAGCCAAGCCUUACUCAGGUGAGCCAGAGUCAGCACAGGGAGACGGUUGGCUGGUGUCUGCGCAUCCUGUCUUAGGACACGCUGUUGGCACGUCCUGGUCUUGUACUCGGUCCCCUAGUCAGUGCCAGACGCGGUGAUCAACUUGCCUUUGAGCUUCCGUUUUACCAGAUUGUGUCAUAUCCUUGCCCUUCAGAUAGUUUGUUUUCCGCUGGUCAGGCUGGAGGUCACUUGAUCAGGUUCUGGCUUUAUUUGGGCUGUGAUCUCGCUGCCAGGAGGCAGCAGGUUUACCUUUGUCGGCGCCGACUGCAUCCCCGCACCUUCCGUCUCUGCCGGAGUAACUCAAGUCACCUGUACUGGAAAUUAGUUUGCUGAAAUUACUGAAACACAGUUCUUGAAGUUGAAGACAAGAUCCUCACAGUCAUCCUUUAAGACAGAAGUUGUUCUCAUUGUUCAGAUGAUGACAUGGAGGCCUAGCAAAGUCAGUGACUUUCCUAAAGCCAUUUAGCCACCCCUGACCGUUCUCCUCUGCCUCUUGAGCAUCUGACCACGAGAGGAUCCCAGGCCGCGUGGGCAGGACUGUGGGCUCCGCCAGCUCCGGUCGUCGUCAGUCGGACUUAGGUGUCCACGCUGCCCAGCAGGGCCCCGCACAAAGCAGGAGGUUCCACGCCUUGACAAGAGGAGUGUGGCCCUUUCUGGAAGCCCUCUGGACACGCCCUCCUAGCAAGAUGCGGCAGCUCAAAGGGAAGCCCAAGAAGGAGACGUCCAAGGACAAGAAGGAGCGGAAGCAAGCCAUGCAGGAGGCCCGGCAGCAGAUCACCACGGUGGUGCUGCCCACGCUGGCUGUGGUCGUGCUCCUGAUCGUGGUGUUUGUGUACGUGGCCACGCGCCCCACCGUCACCGAGUGAGCGCCACGGCCGGCGUGGACUCCAUCGGCAGGGAGAGGAGGUGCGGGAGGGGGAGCGGAACAAAAAAUGGCUUUCACAUGCAGAGAUUUUCAUGAUGCUGAGCUCUGAGCAGGAGCACCCUGUCUUCUCUGGUCUUUGACUUGAUUAAAAUUUCUCCACUUUUCUUGGGAGGGAGUAGGGAACAUUUUAUCAGUGAAUGUGCCAUAUACCUUUUAUGGUCCACUUCAUGUGCCUUUCAGACUUCAAAGCAGUGCGUGUUUCUUUUUCUCUCCUAAAAUCGAUAAGCAGCUCCACCUGGUGAGAGGCGGCAUCUCCGGGUCAUGCAGCAGCUGGAAUCAGUACUCACCUCAUCCCCAUUGUUGGAACAUGACUCUUUCCUACAUGUGUUCACACUCUCCAAAGGGACUGUAUUUCUUCUCUGUGCUUAAUGUGAUUUGAAAUAUGUUGAUUCAAAGUGAAAUAUUUAUUUUUUGAAUAAAGGAGAUAAUAGCCUUAAA